AGCGAACGCUGGCGGCAGGCCUAACACAUGCAAGUCGAACGAACUCUUCGGAGUUAGUGGCGGACGGGUGAGUAACACGUGGGAACGUGCCUUUUGGUUCGGAAUAACUCAGGGAAACUUGUGCUAAUACCGAAUGUGCCCUUCGGGGGAAAGAUUUAUCGCCAUUAGAGCGGCCCGCGUCAGAUUAGCUAGUCGGUGAGGUAACGGCUCACCAAGGCGACGAUCAGUAGCUGGUCUGAGAGGAUGACCAGCCACACUGGGACUGAGACACGGCCCAGACUCCUACGGGAGGCAGCAGUGGGGAAUCUUGCGCAAUGGGCGAAAGCCUGACGCAGCCAUGCCGCGUGAAUGAUGAAGGUCUUAGGAUUGUAAAAUUCUUUCACCGGGGACGAUAAUGACGGUACCCGGAGAAGAAGCCCCGGCUAACUUCGUG
rnacentral:rRNA from 1 species